AUUGAACGCUGGCGGCAUGCUUUACACAUGCAAGUCGAACGGUAACAGGGAGCUUGCUCCGCUGACGAGUGGCGAACGGGUUGAGUAAUGCAUCGGAACAUGCCCAGUCAUGGGGGGAUAACUACGCCGAAAGCGUAGCUAAUACCGCAUACGCCCUGAGGGGGGAAAGUGGGGGGAUCUUAGGACCUCACGUGAUUGGAGUGGCCGAUGUCAGAUUAGCUAGUUGGUGAGGUAAAGGCUCACCAAGGCGACGAUCUGUAGCGGGUCUGAGAGGAUGAUCCGCCACACUGGGACUGAGACACGGCCCAGACUCCUACGGGAGGCAGCAGUGGGGAAUUUUGGACAAUGGGCGCAAGCCUGAUCCAGCCAUGCCGCGUGAGUG
rnacentral:rRNA from 1 species